GAUGAACGCUGGCGGCGUGCCUAAUACAUGCAAGUCGAGCGAACAGACGAGGAGCUUGCUCCUCUGACGUUAGCGGCGGACGGGUGAGUAACACGUGGAUAACCUACCUAUAAGACUGGGAUAACUUCGGGAAACCGGAGCUAAUACCGGAUAAUAUAUUGAACCGCAUGGUUCAAUAGUGAAAGACGGUUUUGCUGUUACUUAUAGAUGGAUCCGCGCCGCAUUAGCUAGUUGGUAAGGUUACGGCUUACCAAGGCAACGAUGCGUAGCCGACCUGAGAGGGUGAUCGGCCACACUGGAACUGAGACACGGUCCAGACUCCUACGGGAGGCAGCAGUAGGGAAUCUUCCGCAAUGGGCGAAAGCCUGACGGAGCAACGCCGCGUGAGUGAUGAAGGUCUUCGGAUCGUAAAACUCUGUUAUUAGGGAAGAACAAAUGUGUAAGUAACUAUGCACGUCUUGACGGUACCUAAUCAGAAAGCCACGGCUAACUACGUG
rnacentral:rRNA from 1 species